rnacentral:rRNA from 1 species
UGGGGAAUUUUGGACAAUGGGCGAAAGCCUGAUCCAGCAAUGCCGCGUGUGUGAAGAAGGCCUUCGGGUUGUAAAGCACUUUUGUCCGGAAAGAAAUCCUUGACUCUAAUACAGUCGGGGGAUGACGGUACCGGAAGAAUAAGCACCGGCUAACUACGUGCCAGCAGCCGCGGUAAUACGUAGGGUGCAAGCGUUAAUCGGAAUUACUGGGCGUAAAGCGUGCGCAGGCGGUUUGCUAAGACCGAUGUGAAAUCCCCGGGCUCAACCUGGGAACUGCAUUGGUGACUGGCAGGCUAGAGUAUGGCAGAGGGGGGUAGAAUUCCACGUGUAGCAGUGAAAGUGCGUAGAGAUGUGGAGGAAUACCGAUGGCGAAGGCAGCCCCCUGGGCCAAAUACUGACGCUCAUGCACGAAAGCGUGGGGAGCAAACAGGAUUAGAUACCCUGGUAGUCCACGCCCUAAACGAUGUCAACUAGUUGUUGGGGACUUCAUUUCCUUAGUAACGUAGCUAACGCGUGAAGUUGACCGCCUGGGGAGUACGGUCGCAAGAUUAAAACUCAAAUGAAUUGAC